rnacentral:rRNA from 1 species
UACGAAGGGGGCUAGCGUUGUUCGGAAUUACUGGGCGUAAAGCGUGCGCAGGCGGCUUCUCAAGUCAGGGGUGAAAGCCCAGAGCUCAACUCUGGAAUUGCCUUUGAGACUGAGUGGCUUGAGUACGAGAGAGGUGAGUGGAAUUCCCAGUGUAGAGGUGAAAUUCGUAGAUAUUGGGAAGAACACCGGUGGCGAAGGCGACUCUCUGGUCUGUAACUGACGCUGAGGCGCGAAAGCGUGGGGAGCAAACAGG